rnacentral:misc_RNA from 1 species
CUCGCACCCCGACUUGAACGGAGCUCUUUUGUUUAUAUUGGUUCUCCCUUUAGGGAGUUAGAGGGUAAACAAAAAGCGGGAGUGGAAGGCGGAAACUGGC